AAAAAAAAAAAAAAAAAAAAAAAAAAGAGAGAGCGAGAGAUUGCGAGCGGAGCUUUUUAAUUGAGCAAUCCUUUAAAAGUUGACUGGGUGGUUGCAAUUGUCUGUGUUGCUCCGGGGGGGCAAGAACUCGCCUUUUGGUGUGUGAGAGCCGAGGUUACUGCGGGCUGGCACUGCUGGGAGUGGAGGACACUGAGGGGGGCAGCCGGAGGCCACUGGCUGGAGCCACGGUCAGAUGCUCAAGUCCCCCCAAGGGUCUGGCCCUCUCCUGAGGGAAACAGGGCACCCUCUGGGCACCAUCCUGCGCUCGAAGAGGCCGUGUACGGUACGUGUGUCAGCAAACAGUCAAAACGUUUUGGACCUUAAAUCUGUAAAUCAGCCCAGACCUCUUCUGUCCACAGAUCCCACCUGCUUCCCCCAGUGACAGGAGAAUUUCUUCAAAAGUAGAUCUGAAACAAAUUUUUGAGCACUGUCUAAAUGCACUGUUGGAAUUUUUUUCCAUCUCUCCUCAAGCCUUUUUGCCAGCUUCUGCUUCAUGUUCCUAUUUAUGUUUGGUACGAUUAUUUACUGUUGCAUAUACUAAAUGGAGUUCAGAGGGCAUGUCCCAGCAACGCUGAGCAGACACAGUUUAAUUACUUUAAUAGUCUUAAGCUUGUUCUCCUGCUUUUCAAAUGAAUGAAUGGCUUAUACGUAUGGAUCCUUUCAUUCAUCACCAGAACAAUCUUCUGCAAAGGACAGAGGGGAACAGUCUUCAUAAAUCACAGAAAAACACCGUGGUGGUUUGGGACAGGAAGUGAAAAAUACCGUGUUCACUUGAAACUGGAUUUCAAAGAAACAGAAUUCAGAGAAGCAGCAUAUAGUUAUUACCCCACGUGAAAUUUGGCCUGGCUCCACUGAAAAGCAAACUAGCUUCUCCAGUGCUUUAUGGGGUCCAGACAUUCAGCUCCAAACCUCAGCAGAAGUAAAAAUAAAAUAGAGACAGCAACCAAACACUGACUAGAAAUCAGUUCAGGUUUACACAUAAUUCUAGCUCUGAGGAACACAUUUAUUUUCCAUGUAUGCUGCUACUGCCGUUUUGUUGAUUUGCUCGCUUUUUGUUUUGACUUGCAAGCAUUCGUGUUGAAAUACAAACAUCUUUAACAGGGUUUAAAUAUUUCAAUGUAGGGCAGUGAGGGAUUCUCAAGAGAGUCUCUGUCAGUGUCUAAAGAGCAGCAUCGCGCUACCCGUGCCAUCGGUGAGGCAUGGCCCUCGGAUCUUAUUUCCCUUGCCCCAAACAGCACUAAACUGCAAGGCUCGCCCAAGUGCUUCCCUUUGUUUCAAACCCUUGUAUCUUGGAGCACUUGUUGAACCUGACGACAAGUGCAUCAAAGUGGCUGACAAUUACGAAAUAAACAAAUAUCAUUUGAGGCAUUUUUAAGCAGAAUACAGUAAUACAUAGAUUAGCUUAUUGAUGUCGUUAUCGUAUUGAAUAUUAUUCAUACUUCUGAUAUUUCUGCUGCACAACAGCAUUCCCUGCUCAGUAAACAUCAUAUUAUCUCACUAUGCAAAAGGCUUCAUUAAUCAAAACAGACAAUAGGCCAGACGCUCUCUCUUUGAGUCUGGGGUUUUGGAUCUUCUAGGCUUUUUACCUUGUCUAAAUGCCUUGUCCCUGUCAACAUGGAAAGCAAUUCUUCAAAACAGAUUGGUAUAAAAUGUGGUGCUAAAAAGGAAACAUUAUCUAAUUCAGUUAAAAGAACUUCCCAGUUAUUUUAUAUUUUCCAUUUAAUUUUUCAUGACUUGUAGAAGCAAAACUUUUUCACUAUUUCAUUCAGAGAUUAAUCCACUCAUUUGUUGAAAUACUAAUGAAAGAGCCAGAUAAAUCUCUGUCCUUCAAACAGCAGCAGCAGCAAGUGCCAAGAUCAAGAAAUAGGGAGUUGACUGACCAUGCUGCCUGCCUCACUCAUUGGAGGUGGGGAGUGGAUGGUGGAUGGGGAGCUGGGAAUAAUGUGGCCAUGAAGCCGCUGUCCGGAAAGAGGAUCCUGGCAAAACACGAUCCUGACUUGGUGCAAAGGACCACAUAUUGAUGGCAAGGCCUGAAAGAGACAUGCCAUAAUGAUGCAAAAUAGUAUUUCCUGCACAGAAAUACAUCAGAACUGUUUCAGACUGAGCAAUAGAAGUGACAGCAGUGGUUGUGUGGUGCAUUCCAGAGUGUAAGGCAUAGAUAACUUCAGAGAAGACAGGAAGACUGCCUUUUGACAGUCUGUCGUGAGUGGUCUCGUUCAAAUUCAGCCUCUUGUCUCACAUUUCAGAAAACCUAAAUUCAGUUCUCAUUUCUCCAGGGAUGGGGAAACUCAGCACUGUCAAUCUCCUCUUUCCUUUUCAGACAACAGCAGACACUUAAAUGGAGACUGGUUAAUUCCUUGUGUCUACAUCUCAGAAACAGAAGUGACCUUGAAUUAUUAGAAAAACAGAGAGACCUGAAAGCUCCCAGACAACCUCUCCAGAUCCUUGGCCUUGGAAAAGUCUGAGUGAGGUCAUACCUGAUCCCUUCUGGUCUUGCAGCCUCAUGCCGUGUGAGCACCCUGCGGCCAGAGGCUCAUCACAAUGAGGCAAAUCCUGCACCUUCCAGGAUACUGUUACACCUCCAGAGGAAAACAGGAUGCUGAAAGCACACAUGGUUUCCUCCCUAAAUUAAAAAGAGUGUGUAAAUCUGUUAAGAUUAGUGCACAUCAAUCCCUGCAUUUGAAUCAAGAGAUACUUUCGUUUGCAAGCUAUUGGGGAAAAAAAAUCGUAUCAUUCAAAGUGUAUUUAAUAAGACAGAAGGAGACAGAUUUCUUUGACAAUGUUACAGCUCUUAUCAGAUUACACUAAAAUUAAAUUAAAACAAUCUAAACGAAGUGUUGAGUACUGAAGGGAGAACACAAACAAAACACUUCUCUUUGUAGGCUUUCAGGGAUGGGGUACUGAUGUUAGUUAACAGGGAUGUGAGCAAUAAGAUUAUUCUUGAGUCAAUUAUGAGUCCUUCAGUGUCAGCAUGGGAGAUCCGUACCACAGCGGAGAGCGCACGCCCUGCACCAAGACAAGGAGUAGAAGG